CAUCUGUUGACUCAAGGCUCAAACUUGGUGGACUGUGCAGGAAACUGACAGCAAGUGUUUAAAACGGGAACUGCAGUCAAAUUCAAAACAUUGCAGCAAGCUGUCUUGCCUGGGUUGCCAGGUUGAGGACACUGAACCUACAACACAUGACCUUCUUCCCUCAGUGGAUCAUCAGGCAUAAAUGGUUCCAAAACAAUUUUCAUCUGGCUGAGUCACCACUGAAGAGCAAAAAACAGAAUGGAAUGUAACAGAGGAGCUGGGGAAAGACAGACGUGCACAUUGAAGAUAAUUUCUGCAGUACAUGCUUAAAAAAACAGCUAAAACAGCCAUGCAUUUUCUCCACGGCCAAGGGCUCAGGAUGUUGUUACUUUUUUCAAUCAUCAGAGUAGCUGUGAGUGUCACAGACUAGCCCUCCUCCAUCCUGCCGGGCUGACGGUGCUGUUGAGUCUGACACUGGAUGAUUUAGGGGAAGAUGGGCCUAAACAGGUCAGUCUCCACACCUACCCCAUGAGCCCUGUUUGGGAGUAAGAAGAUAUGUUUUCUUGCUGACUUGUACCAGAGGAGGGACUAGCUGGAGUAUGUGGCUUUCUGUCAUUUUGAUGAAUUUCUAAAACAUGUGCUUUAUUUGUAUACCUAUGUGAUUUCUCCUUGUUAAUCCGAUUAUUAGGAAAGCGACAAGAUGGCAUUAUAUAUAUAUUUUUUUCCUUAAAGUUUUCUCGUACCAUCAAAUGGCUUCACUUUCAAUGUGCACGACUAUGUUUGCACUUGCCAGUAAGUCAUCUGGUGCACCCCUGCUAUUAGC